rnacentral:lncRNA from 1 species
AUAUAUUCUCACUAUAGGCAGUACCAUAGGGAUCUUUUAAUGAAUUAAAUAUCCAAUCUAGGUUUUACUCAAACAUUUAUGGAAUCUAGAUUAAGGGGAAGUGUAAACAUAUUGUAAAACCAAUCUCUUCCUAUCUUUUUACCAUUUAAUAUUUCUUCUAUUUUUCUCCUUUUUUGUCUUUUUGUGCAGGUGUCGAGUAUGGCAGUCGGGGAUGCCCUUUGCCAUUUUACGUUUAUUCCUUCUGUUGAGGAAAGUUAUUAUUUUUGUUUUAUUCUCCUCCAUAUGCCUAUAUAAUGACAACCCGAUGAAUGAAAGAAAAAAGAGGAAAUUUUGAGAAUUUUCCCAUUUUGAAAAACUUCAUGAUUAAGCCAAAUGAGAAAGACUGACUUUAAACAGACAACUCAAGAAAAGGUAAUCCACCUCCCAAUUGUUUAUAUCUGGGUUGUGGUAACAACCCAUAAACCUACUCAAGGAAGUUGACAUUGACCUCAUCUACUUUUCCCUGGCAUGAUCUAACAAUCUUUGGAAUUUGUUGUCUUAAAGAAGAAUUCUUUUACUGAACAUCCUCUCAAAAUUUCAAAUCCUUCCCACCACUUCUAAUCCAUUUCCAAAGUCUUGUAACCAUGUGUUCUCUGGUCUUCCAGCAUCUAGCCAACCCAAACUCGGCUCCAAGCAUCAUAGGAGUUCUUAGGCUAAGUCCUUUGCCAAAUGGUUGCAUAACAGCAUUCAUGAGGCUAAGUUAAAACAUAUUUGCUCAUGCAAAUCACCUUCAAGGAAGCGACAAUUAAUAGUCUCCAACUUCUUAGCUAUGCUAGCUAGUUAAGGGACAAAGAAAGUAAAGCAGAUGAGGUGGCAAAGCAGAAUAGUGUCUAGGAGGCUAGAAAAAUUAAAGAAAAGAAAAGAUAAAUCUAAUUUUGAUGAUUUGACAACAAACACAAUCACAAGGUUGUUGCAACCACAUUCACAGGGUUAUUUAGAUAGUUGAUUCAAUAAGAAAAUUCGUCUUUAAGUUUUAUUCAUAUGCAGUCUUCUCCAAAUGAUGAACAAUGGCCCACCAUUUUUCUUAGUUCCAAUCCCGAUGGAGGAGUAAUUUAUAACAAAGUUUGUGUUACUGAUUUCUAAGCAUAGUGUGUCUUCCCCUAGGAAAAACACUUGCUAUUCAUUGUUGUUAUUAGGGGCAUUCUGAAAAUGUGCAAGUCAAAAUAUGACUUUAAAUUAAGUUCUGAAUUAGUGGAUGCUGCAAAAAAGAGUGGUUAUGCCAUACACAAAAAAGAAGACUCAUAGAAAGGCAGAAAUAUAUAAAGAUUUUGCACAUUUUCAUUAAUGCAUGAACAUAGUCUAUAUAAACAUAUAGUUCAUCAUUCAAAAGACCUAUUCAUAAAAGUUUUCCUUUAAAUUUAUUCAUUAUGUUUUUCUUUAUCUUAUUUAUUUUAUUUUCUAUUUUAUAACUUAUUGCUACUGAUACUUGUACUCGAUUGAAAAAAAUAUAUUUUCUAAUGUAGCGGAUGUUCCAUACGAAUAAUGUAUCAUUUUUAAGUGAUAAAAAAAAUUAUAAAAAGACCAGUCAAGAUAUUUCUAAUUAUUAUUCUAACUUAGAUUUAAAAAUAUUACAUAUCCAUCUUAUUGAAUCCUUAGAUUUUCGAAAUAGUGUAGAGAAAAGCGCUUCAAAUGAUUGUUAUUUGACUCCAACCUAUUUUAAAAAGUUAAGGCAUUUCGAGUUGUUUGUUGAUACAAACAAACUCGGGGAAAACCAUAUGCAUGCAUGUAUAGAGUGUCUACAUAACCUAAUAUAAUACUAGGAAAACAAUAACAAAAUAAGACCACUAGAUAAAUUAGAAAAAAGAACUUAAUAAUUGCUAAAAUAUAAUACUUUAUAUUAAUAAUCAUAUAUUGGUAAAACUACUAAAUCGUUCUAUAUCACUCUCCCUCUUUGAUACAAGUCGACAAUAGUUUUGGAUAAUAGUAAUCAGGUAGGCGUUGAUUCAUCAGAAUAAUUCGCCUUUUACUUAUCCGUAUAGUGCUUGAAUUCAAAUGGCUUUUCCAUUUUAUAAUAAAUUGACAGAAACCUCCAUCAAUAGAUUUAAUACAUCCAUCAAGAAAAAUAUCUGCAAUAGUGUCUAUAGGCCACAAUAUCGGUGGUGGAACAUUGAAAACCUUAGUAUCUCCAAAAGCACUAACAAGGGUUGGUAAGUAAUUAAAACAGGAAAUAGGUAGUAGAAAAUGCUGAAAAGAAACUGAAAUUUUUUUGUUGCUAUUUCCUUUUUAGCUGCUUUUUUAUAACAAAAAAUGGUUAAAUAAUGACUUAAUAUGAAUUAAUCUAAUGAUCCAUAUCACAAUUAUAUGGUUAGUUUAUAAGUAGGAGAUUCUACAUNNNNNNNNNNNNNNNNNNNNNNNNNNNNNNNNNNNNNNNNNNNNNNNNNNNNNNNUAUAUUUUACAAAGAGAGCAGUUUGAAAGAGCCAGGAAACAUAACCAAAAUUAAGAAAAUUUAUCAAUGAAAGGAUUUAGUACACAUUUAUGCACCGACGGUUAUGGUGUUAUAAAUAGAAGCAAUAAUAGAGAAUUUUCAAGUAUGUUCUCUUGAAAAUUUGUGGAGAAAUUAGAGGUCAGUUUGUUAUCCAGAAUUAAUGGGUUAUUGGCAGGAGUUGUGCGUGUUAUCCAGAAUUCAUGGGUGUUAUUGACAGGAGUUGUGGGUUUUGGUGGUUCCAGCUGAGGCUUGGAACUUGGGUCAUUCCUCCUCUCUUUUUGGUUCAAUAAACAACAGAAACAAAGUUGAAGCUGAUUGAAAACAAAAAGGAUGCUGGUCUAAGAUGAUAGAUCUGUAGGAAGUUGUAUUUUGAGCUUACAAACUCUAAGCAGAAAGGUUUUCUCUAGUUAUUCACUUUAUCAGGUGUUGAGUUUUGAAUCAAAUCUUCACAUCUGUGACAUCUAUACUUUUUGUUUAAAUUAAUUAAUCUAUGAAGUGGAAGAGACUGGGACAACAGCUGAAAUUCAAGGUCCAUUUGUUUUUAUGACUGGGGGGGGGGGGGGGCAUACUAAUAAAUCUGAAAUGAGAAUAAAGAUCCAAAAGUUUACUGAAGUUGAUCUUGGCCUUUGUGCAAUCUAAAAGCUAAAAAGCUCUUUGGUCCUUUGACUUUGAAAUUUAUAUAACGCUGUUAUUUGUUUUGCUUCAACUAUGUUCUAAAACUGAACUAUCUGGAGAAGUGUUGGUCUUUUCUUCAACAAUUGAAAGGCUCAAAUAACCAUUAUAAUAAGAAGAGAAAAUAUCAUUACGGACAUUAGAUGCACUAUUGUGUUUGAAUAUCAGGGGGAAGGAUCAGGUUGAACAGACUGUAACGUUUACAUUACCUGAUAGUCUAUUGGUUUCUCUUCUACAAUCAUUUUCUCCUUCACAUUUGCUAAUAUUUUCCCCUUUUUCUUCUUAACUUCCUUAAUUAUGGUGGGAGUAGAGCUCUAGCAGCCAGAGAAUCCCUCUUGUAAUAUCCACACUUGAAAGGCAUGAUCGUAAGUCAUGGCUUCAAGAUGAUUUUGACGAGUUACAUUUGAGUGCUUGGAAUCCUUCCAUCUUUGCAGACAGACCCGUUUAGUUGUUUCCUCUGUUCGCUGUCUUGCCUGACGUUAUCGGUUCGGGAAGAAAUUCCUGGAGAAUUUGACCUGAAAACUAAAUGUAUACCAUAUAUAUACACACAAUCUUCUUGCUGCAAAAUGGAGUUAAAGGAGGUAGAAGUUGAAAAUUGGUCCCAGGAAUCUCAGAUUUAACCAUGUGAAUAUUUUGAUUAAUCUCAACCAUUGCAAUAUUUUUGGGUGGAUCCAUUGUACGUUUUUUUUUAAAUAAUAUGGUAUGGGUACACAGUUAACAUUUUAACUGAAUUAUAUUUUUCGCUUCUUAAGGUUUGAGAUGUGCAUCACUUGGACAUUUUUUCAGUUUAUUCAGGUUAACUUUUUAACUAAUUUUUGUUUCUAAAUAUAAAUUGGUAUAAACAACUUAUUACAAUAAUUGAUGUAGUCAACCAAUUAUAAAGGUAC